rnacentral:rRNA from 1 species
UACGUAGGGUGCGAGCGUUGCCCGGAUUUAUUGGGCGUAAAGGGCGCGUAGGCGGCCACGCACGUCCGUUGUGAAAUCGCCCGGCUCAACUGGGCGGGGUCAGCGUAUACGGUGUGGCUCGAGCAAGCUAGGGGGCAAUGGAAUUCCCGGUGUAGUGGUGGAAUGCGUAGAUAUCGGGAGGAACACCAGUGGCGAAGGCGGUUGCCUGGAGCUUUGCUGACGCUGAUGCGCGAAAGCGUGGGGAGCGAUCCGG